rnacentral:rRNA from 1 species
GAUGAACGCUAGCGGCAGGCUUAAUACAUGCAAGUCGAGGGGCGAGCAGGGUGUAGCAAUACAUCGCUGGCGACCGGCAAACGGGUGCGGAACACGUACGCAACCUUCCUUCAAGUGAGGAAUAGCCCAGGGAAACUUGGAUUAAUACCUCGUAACAUUGUGAAGUGGCAUCACUUUAUAAUUAUAGCUCAGGCGCUUGAAGAUGGGCGUGCGACNGAUUAGGUAGUUGGCGGAGUAACAGCCCACCAAGCCUGCGAUCAGUAACUGGUGUGAGAGCACGACCAGUCACACGGGCACUGAGACACGGGCCCGACUCUACGGGAGGCAGCAGUAAGGAAUAUUGGUCAAUGGACGCAAGUCUGAACCAGCCAUGCCGCGUGGAGGAUGAAGGUCCUCUGGAUU